rnacentral:lncRNA from 1 species
ACCAUAAGAUCAGGACACAUAUCAAGUAAGUUAAUUAGUUAUUCCAUAGUCAAGUCUAGCUUCUUCAUUAUAGUAAUGCUCACUGUGUUUGGUUCUUGAUCACCAACAAAUUGUUGGCAACAAUAGGCAAAGUGGAACUGUCAGCGACUGCUUCGGUUCCAACCAAGUUCAAAGGUUGUGUGGGUAAAGAGAAAUUGUAAUAGAGUGGCGCACGUAGUUGUUCGUCAAUCCUAUUAGUCGGCUAUCUCUGUAUUUGAAGAUAACCCUCCAGCCUGGUUAGUGGGUGAUUUGAACGAUUUAUGUUAAUGAUUAAUCAUUAAUAAGAA